rnacentral:miRNA from 1 species
UUUCGAGGUAUUAUGUAGUGCUA